rnacentral:rRNA from 1 species
AACUGGGAUUAGAUACCCCACUAUGCUUAGCCCUAAACAUCGAUUUAAUUGCCCUAUUAAAUCCGCCCGGGAAUUACGAACAUAAGUUUAAAACCCCAAGGACUUGGCGGUGCUUUAUAUCCACCUAGAGGAGCCUGUUCUA